UACGUAGGGUGCAAGCGUUGUCCGGAAUUAUUGGGCGUAAAGGGCUCGUAGGCGGUCCAUCGCGUCGGGAGUGAAAAGCUGGGGCUUAACCCCAGUCCUGCUUCCGAUACGGGUGGACUAGAGGUAGGUAGGGGAGAUCGGAAUUCCUGGUGUAGCGGUGAAAUGCGCAGAUAUCAGGAGGAACACCGGUGGCGAAGGCGGAUCUCUGGGCCAUUACUGACGCUGAGGAGCGAAAGCGUGGGGAGCGAACAGG
rnacentral:rRNA from 1 species